rnacentral:rRNA from 1 species
CCAGACUCCUACGGGAGGCAGCAGUGGGGAAUAUUGGACAAUGGGGGGAACCCUGAUCCAGCGACGCCGCGUGAGUGAAGAAGUAUUUCGGUAUGUAAAGCCCUAUCGGCAGGGAAGAAGCAAGACGGUACCUGACUAAGAAGCCCCGGCUAACUACGUGCCAGCAGCCGCGGUAAUACGUAGGGGGCGAGCGUUAUCCGGAUUCACUGGGUGUAAAGGGAGCGUAGACGGCCAUGCAAGCCAGGGGUGAAAGCCCGGGGCCCAACCCCGGGACUGCCCUUGGAACUGCAUGGCUGGAGUGCGGGAGGGGCAGGCGGAAUGCCUGGUGUAGCGGUGAAAUGCGUAGAUAUCAGGAGGAACACCGGCGGCGAAGGCGGCCUGCUGGACCGCGACUGACGUUGAGGCUCGAAAGCGUGGGGAGCGGACAGGAUUAGAUACCCCGGUAUUG